rnacentral:rRNA from 1 species
GACGAACGCUGGCGGCGUGCUUAACACAUGCAAGUCGAGCGGUAAGGCCCUUUCGGGGGUACACGAGCGGCGAACGGGUGAGUAACACGUGGGUGACCUGCCCUUAGCUCUGGGAUAAGCCUGGGAAACUGGGUCUAAUACCGGAUAUGACUCCAUAACGCAUGUUGUGGGGUGGAAAGCCUUGUGCGGCUAGGGAUGGGCCCGCGGCCUAUCAGCUUGUUGGUGGGGUGAUGGCCUACCAAGGCGACGACGGGUAGCCGGCCUGAGAGGGCGACCGGCCACACUGGGACUGAGACACGGCCCAGACUCCUACGGGAGGCAGCAGUGGGGAAUCUUGCGCAAUGGGCGAAAGCCUGACGCAGCGACGCCGCAUGGGGAUGACGGCCU